rnacentral:lncRNA from 1 species
CCUUGCUGUGUCAGGAACAUGAAAGCUCGAUAUCGGUUGACUGCUGCAAUCAGAAGUAUCAGCUCCAGAAUGAAAGACAUCUGUGAAGGCCAUCAGAGACUGUCCAAAAAAUUAAAAAGAGCCCAACAAGGUUCCAGUUCCACCCGUGAAGAUGACCCGUGGCAAGAUCAUCGAGCAGAUGCUGUCUUUGUAGAGAAAUCUGGUCUGGUGGGAAUUGAAGAGCCGAAGACAAGGCUUACUCAGUGGCUUGUUGGCGGCAUUCCAGAGAGGGAGGUAAUAUCGGUGUCUGGAAUGGGAGGGUUGGGGAAGACGACCCUGGCAAAGCAAGUUUUUGAUGAUCCAGUUGUGAGGAAGCACUUUCCUGUGCGUGCUUGGGUCACACUUUCUCCAUCUUCGAAGACAGAAGAGCUCCUGAUGGACAUGCUUCAACAGAUUGCCAGUAGAAUCAUGAAGCCAGUUCCAAGUGGAGCAGACACAUUGGACAUCGAUUGGCUGAAAAUGAUGAUCAAGCGCUUGCUACAGGGAAGAAGAUCGAGGUACCUGAUUGUUCUUGAUGAUGUCUGGCAUAUGGACAAAUGGGAUGCUGUCAAGUAUGCAUUGCCUAACAAUAACCACGGAAGCCGGAUAAUGAUCACAACCCGGAAUGCUGAACUGGCACAGGCAUCCUGCACUGAAUUUGUUGGGAAGG